rnacentral:rRNA from 1 species
AUUGAACGCUGGCGGCAGGCCUAACACAUGCAAGUCGAGCGGUAGAGAGAAGCUUGCUUAUCUUGAGAGCGGCGGACGGGUGAGUAAUGCCUAGGAAUCUGCCUGGUAGUGGGGGAUAACGUUCGGAAACGGACGCUAAUACCGCAUACGUCCUACGGGAGAAAGCAGGGGACCUUCGGGCCUUGCGCUAUCAGAUGAGCCUAGGUCGGAUUAGCUAGUUGGUGAGGUAAUGGCUCACCAAGGCGACGAUCCGUAACUGGUCUGAGAGGAUGAUCAGUCACACUGGAACUGAGACACGGUCCAGACUCCUACGGGAGGCAGCAGUGGGGAAUAUUGGACAAUGGGCGAAAGCCUGAUCCAGCCAUGCCGCGUGUGUGAAGAAGGUCUUCGGAUUGUAAAGCACUUUAAGUUGGGAGGAAGGGUUGUAGAUUAAUACUCUGCAAUUUUGACGUUACCGACAGAAUAAGCACCGGCUAACUCUGUGCCAGCAGCCGCGGUAAUACAGAGGGUGCAAGCGUUAAUCGGAAUUACUGGGCGUAAAGCGCGCGUAGGUGGUUUGUUAAGUUGGAUGUGAAAUCCCCGGGCUCAACCUGGGAACUGCAUUCAAAACUGACUGACUAGAGUAUGGUAGAGGGUGGUGGAAUUUCCUGUGUAGCGGUGAAAUGCGUAGAUAUAGGAAGGAACACCAGUGGCGAAGGCGACCACCUGGACUAAUACUUGACGCUGAGGUGCGAAAGCGUGGGAGCAACAGG